rnacentral:misc_RNA from 1 species
UACAGAGGUCUCAAGCGUUACGCGGAUUCACUGGGCUUAAAGGGUGCGUAGGCGGCGCGGCAAGUGCCUUGUGAAAUCCCACCGCUCAACGGUGGAAUCGCUCGGUAGACUGCCGUGCUUGAGGUCGGUAGGGGUCGCUGGAACUCUAGGUGGAGCGGUGAAAUGCGUAGAUAUCUAGAGGAACGCCAAAGGUGAAGACAAGCGACUGGGCCGAUUCUGACGCUGAGGCACGAAAGCGUGGGUAGCGAACGGG